CCUACGGGAGGCAGCAGUGAGGAAUAUUGGACAAUGGGCGCAAGCCUGAUCCAGCCAUGCCGCGUGCAGGAUGAAGCAUCUAUGGUGUGUAAACUGCUUUUGUACAGGAAGAAACCUCCCGACGUGUCGGGAAUUGACGGUACUGUAAGAAUAAGGAUCGGCUAACUCCGUGCCAGCAGCCGCGGUAAUACGGAGGAUCCAAGCGUUAUCCGGAAUCAUUGGGUUUAAAGGGUCCGUAGGCGGGCCAGUAAGUCAGUGGUGAAAUCUCUCCGCUCAACGGGGAAAUGGCCAUUGAUACUGCUGGUCUUGAAUUAUUAGGAAGUAACUAGAAUAUGUAGUGUAGCGGUGAAAUGCUUAGAGAUUACAUGGAAUACCAAUUGCGAAGGCAGGUUACUACUAAUGGAUUGACGCUGAUGGACGAAAGCGUGGGUAGCGAACAGGAUUAGAUACCCUGGUAGUCCACGCCGUAAACGAUGGAUACUAGCUGUUGGGGGCAACUUCAGUGGCUAAGCGAAAGUGAUAAGUAUCCCACCUGGGGAGUACGUUCGCAAGAAGAGAAGUAAAGUAAGUAGAGCGNGAGAGUGCGACGACGACGACGAGGGAGGAGG
rnacentral:rRNA from 1 species